GAUGAACGCUGGCGGCGUGCUUAACACAUGCAAGUCGAGCGAAGCACCUAAGAAAGAUUCUUCGGAUGAAUUCUUUUGUGACUGAGCGGCGGACGGGUGAGUAACGCGUGGGUAACCUGCCUCAUACAGGGGGAUAACAGUUAGAAAUGACUGCUAAUACCGCAUAAGACCACGGUACCGCAUGGUACAGAGGUAAAAACUCCGGUGGUAUGAGAUGGACCCGCGUCUGAUUAGCUAGUUGGUGGGGUAACGGCCUACCAAGGCGACGAUCAGUAGCCGACCUGAGAGGGUGACCGGCCACAUUGGGACUGAGACACGGCCCAAACUCCUACGGGAGGCAGCAGUGGGGAAUAUUGCACAAUGGGGGAAACCCUGAUGCAGCGACGCCGCGUGAAGGAUGAAGUAUUUCGGUAUGUAAACUUCUAUCAGCAGGGAAGAA
rnacentral:rRNA from 1 species